ensembl:snRNA U12 U12 minor spliceosomal RNA
AUGUCUUCAACUUACGAGUAAGAAAAAUAAUGGUUCAGGGCGACACCUAAAUCCUCACUGCUGUUGGGAGACGAUGUUUUGAGCAGGUAAAGGUCACCCCUAAGGUGACCUGCCACUUUGCAGGAUACCUGGGAGUCACAGUCACCCUG